AUUGAACGCUGGCGGCAUGCCUUACACAUGCAAGUCGAACGGCAGCACGGGAGCAAUCCUGGUGGCGAGUGGCGAACGGGUGAGUAAUAUAUCGGAACGUGCCCAGUCGUGGGGGAUAACUACUCGAAAGAGUAGCUAAUACCGCAUACGAUCUACGGAUGAAAGCGGGGGAUCUUCGGACCUCGCGCGAUUGGAGCGGCCGAUAUCAGAUUAGGUAGUUGGUAGGGUAAAAGCCUACCAAGCCUGCGAUCUGUAGUUGGUCUGAGAGGACGACCAGCCACACUGGAACUGAGACACGGUCCAGACUCCUACGGGAGGCAGCAGUGGGGAAUUUUGGACAAUGGGCGCAAGCCUGAUCCAGCAAUGCCGCGUGCAGGACGAAGGCCUUCGGGUUGUAAACUGCUUUUGUACGGAGCGAAAAGGUCUCUACUAAUACUAGGGGCUCAUGACGGUACCGUAAGAAUAAGCACCGGCUAACUACGUGCCAGCCGCCGCAGUAA
rnacentral:rRNA from 1 species